rnacentral:lncRNA from 1 species
CUUGCUAUUUUUUCUGAGGUUUUAUGGUCUCCUUUUCUGUCCUUUAUUUAAAAAAAAAAAAAUUUAUGUUUUCCUUCGUUCCACUCAUCAUCCCAGUUAGGCUUGGCUGCAGCGGUCCUCAGACCCUCCUUUUCAGCAGUUGCCCCUCUGGUUCAGGGAGCUCGCGUGUCACUGGCAGUCAGGUCCGCCGUCAGCACUCACUCCCAGCAGUGUCGGGGAGAAGAUAAAGUGUCUGGGACUGCAGUGCUCUGAGGAUCUCUUCCCACUGCGUUAGUGUACAUGGCACCGACAGCUUGUCUAGGCUAAAGUAUCCAUAGUUCCUUCCUUCCUUCAACAACCAGUUACUAAAUGUGAACGUUACAAGUUCCUCGAGGGCGAAUCCUCAUAACUCAGCAAAUAUUUAUUAGUUGCUGAAUUCCUGGGUGCUGGGGUGAGAGCAUUUAAAUAAGGAAAGGGAACCUGCCCGCAGGCCACUUCCCCAAUAGUGAUUGAUAGGCAACUGACAUGUAACAAACAAGACCUUUCACCUCUGAACCUGUGACGUGAUAGACAGUGACCUGAACUGGUAGGGAUGGUGAGUUGUGCCCUGGAAGAUGCCUGCCAUGUGAAGAUCUAGGAAAAGAACAUCCCUGGCUGAAGAGAGAGCAGAUGCAAAGGCCCCUGAGAGGGAACCAGCUCAGAGGCUUUGAACAGCAGAAGUUCUGCAUUCCUUAGAGGAGAAAGUUGUCGUUUUGCUUCGGACUCUUAUGGCCGUUUGCUGGGAGAAAAGAGGCAACACACUCUAAUGAUCAACUCAAUACGAAAAGUGUAAAUCUGUCAUAUAAAUUGUUGCUACUCCAACUUCCCUCGUGCUUCUUCCUCUUAAGUCAUUUAAGGUGUCCGUUUGGCUCGGCCACAUCAGAUCCCUAACAUUCUUUCAGGGGAAAUACUGCAACCUGGAAGAGACGGGAACAUUGUGCUGUAUGAGUUGACUGCCUGAGAAGCGUUAGUGUCAGCUCUGGAAUGGGGCCCAUGUAAUUAGGUCCUUAAGUUGAAGGGAAGCGUCAACUUUUCCAUAGUCAGAGCUUUCCAGAUUUUAAUUGGCAGCUUGCCCUUGCAUCAGAAUUUCUUUUCUAAAAUAAAUGAUUUGGAAGGCUCUUAUCUUUACACCCAGACACGCAGCUUCAGUUCCUCCUGCCUAGGAAAGUUAACUCUCCAGCUAUAAUAUGGGACGCAGUGCUGUUCCUGUUUAAUCAGCCUCCAAAAACUCACUAAUUCCCACAUUUAAAUUGUAAGGCCACAGUAACAUUUAUUAGACUCUUCUUCCCACCGUCACCCUCCUGUGAUGCC